rnacentral:rRNA from 1 species
AUAGUGGCGCACGGGUGCGUAACACGUAUGCAACCUACCUUACAUUGGGGGAUAGCCUUUCGAAAGGGAGAUUAAUACCGCAUAAGACAGUAGCUGGGCAUCCAGCAGCUGUUAAAGAUUUAUCGAUGUAAGAUGGGCAUGCGUCCAAUUAGUUAGUUGGCGAGGUAAUGGCUCACCAAGACUUUGAUUGGUAGGGGAACUGAGAGGUCAAUCCCCCACACUGGCACUGAGAUACGGGCCAGACUCCUACGGGAGGCAGCAGUAGGGAAUAUUGGGCAAUGGACGCAAGUCUGACCCAGCCAUGCCGCGUGCAGGAUGAAGGCGUUAUGCGUUGUAAACUGCUUUUAUACAGGAAGAAACGACUCUUGCGAGAGGCAUUGACGGUACUGUAUGAAUAAGCACCGGCUAACUCCGUGCCAGCAGCCGCGGUAAUACGGAGGGUGCAAGCGUUGUCCGGAUUUAUUGGGUUUAAAGGGUGCGCAGGUGGUUUAUUAAGUCAGUGGUGAAAGACGGUCGCUCAACGAUUGCAGUGCCAUUGAAACUGGUAGACUUGAGUAAAGUAGAGGUGGGCGGAAUUGAUAGUGUAGCGGUGAAAUGCAUAGAUAUUAUCAAGAACUCCAAUUGCGUAGGCAGCUCACUUGGCUUUUACUGACACUCAUGCACGAAAGUGUGGGUAUCAAACAGGAUUAGAUACCCUGGU